rnacentral:tRNA from 1 species
GGGCUCGUAGCUCAGUCUGGCAGAGCACUGGGCUUUUAACCCAGGAGUCGCGGGUUCAAAGGUCGGGCGCUCCCGACAAGAGCGAGCGCAUACUGGCUAAAGCCAGAUGCACUUUAGAGAGCGUUGACUUGAAAGUCCCGUCGGGCCCA